rnacentral:lncRNA from 1 species
UCAGCCCUUGCCAGUAGUUUGCUUAAUCACCAUAUUUGUAGCUUUUGACAAUUUAGGGAUCAAUAUCUUUAACCCUUCUCUGACAUAGAUAGCAUUUGCUACUUAAAAGGCUCUAAAUGAAUAUUCGAUUGCUUCUUCUGCUGCCUCAAUAUAGGGAGUGGUUAAAGUCUUUGUUACCAAUAAAUCCUUCUAAUCAUCUACACAGACUUAUUUUUCUUUUACAAUGAACUUUAC